UGUGAUCGGAUCCCCGGUUUGGCAGAGUAGACAUGUGAGAAGACUGAACGUUUCAUCGUUGAAACCUCUUAAAGGUGGAAUGUGUGGCAGAAAGAACUUCUGAGAAGCUCACGCGAUUUGCAGAAGGAACAUUUGUAGAAGAUUCCCUGUUUUCCGAAGGAACGUCAAGUUCCAAAGGACACAUAUUGCUUGUCUCUGAACUUCUCAGCUGCCUGCAGAUCUUCCUGUUUUUCAGCUGCAGUUAGGGUUUGUCUGAGGAGAAGCAUAACAUCCCUCCAGGCUUACCCUGGUUUCUCAGUGAAGAAUAAAGUACAGGGAACAUGAGAGAAUACAUGGGAGAGCAAUCAAGAUGCUACUUCAGUAAUCCAUGACAAUGACAACGUAAAGUAACGCAAGGUGCACGUGAUGGGUAUGGCCAAAUGCUCCACAAAUAAAUGUGUUGAAUGAAUGAACAAAUGAAUAAGCGAAGUGAAUGGAACAUCAAACUGCAUAAAAAUAUAUUUAUUCAGAAAUGAGAGGUGAUGAUUGCCAACAUAUCAUAAUCAGACUCUGACCUUGGUUACUUAUGAGUUUGACAACGAAGAGGAAAGAGGAUCAGAAACAUUAUAGAUGCCAGAUUCACAAAAGAAGAUAUAUGAUAGAAGCUGGAAUUGUUUGAAUAAAAAGAGUCAAAUUUUACAUUGGAUUAACCAGAGGGAAGAAAGUAGAUGGAUAGGAAAGAAGAAGGCAGGCUUAGCCAAGCCAAAGAAAGAGACUAGACUCAGGAGACACUGGGAGAAAAAGGAACUCUGUCAAAGAAGAGUACCAUUAUAGUUUCAAGAGAGCUGAGAGGUUGUUAAGUCCCCCAUGUCGUUCCUAGUCCAAAAACAACCGAUCCUAAACACUAUAAUCCUGAAUGUUGAAAUCCUGAAACAUCAAAAUCCCUAAAGUCUAAAAUCCUUAUCUAACAUCCAGAAAAUCACUAUCACAGGACAGUUGCACCAUGGUAUUGCAUCAUGUUAAAUGUAAUUAUUUCCUUGUUUACUCUUUAUUCGGAAAUUAAGCAUGGCUAAGAAGGUAUGUAGAGGUGCCAAGUCAACAAGGGGUGGACCCAUGGACUUAAUUUUAGGUGUCAACUUGGCUGGGUUAAGGAAUGUCUGGAAACUUGGUAAAGCAUUAUUUUGGGUAUGCCUCGAGGGUGUUCUCAGAAAAGAUUAAUGUGUAGGUCUGAGUGGACUAGGUGGGAAAGAUCUGUCAAU